rnacentral:rRNA from 1 species
UACGUAGGGAGCCAGCGUUGUCCGGAUUUACUGGGCGUAAAGAGCGCGUAGGCGGUUUGAUAAGCGGAGGGUGAAAUCCCGGGGCUCAACUCCGGGGCUGCUCUCCGAACUGUCAGACUAGAGUACGGGAGAGGACAGUGGAAUUCCUGGUGUAGCGGUGGAAUGCGUAAAUAUCAGGAGGAACACCCGUGGCGAAGGCUGCUGUCUGGAACGUUACUGACGCUGAGGCGCGAAAGCUAGGGGAGCGAACGGG